CAAGCUACCAAAGCGGAGCUCAACCUCGAGAAGUCGAACAUCGCCUUCAACAGUGAUGCUUCGACAAACCUUCUGGGGAGAAAGGUCCUUCACUCCUUUGACACCCUCGAACAGAUGACGGAAAAGGCGAUGCUCAUCAUGGAGACGCCCGGCAGGCGAGCCAACUUCAGUUGGAUGCUCUUCAACGUGGAGUUGACGGACGUGACGCGAAAGUGCUUGACUGGGGGAGCCUUCGAGCGCGUCAGAGAGUUCAAGAAGUUUUAUCUCACCCAGACGUCGAAAAACCGGACUGGAUAGCGUGGCGCGUUAGGCAGCUGUUGGGAGUGCCGGGAAAUCGGCCAACUGCUUUCGCGCCAUUUUUUUCUUUUAUUUUACUUAACAACGUCAACCGAUGCUCGUUUGCCGGCUUCGGUGCGUGCGAAGCAGUAAAAAAGAAAAUCAAAACGGA